AUCUAGAUGACGAGUCCAAAACAGGAUGAAACAUAUCCUAUAU
rnacentral:hammerhead_ribozyme from 1 species